GGUUCUUUUUUAGCGCCUAACAUUUAUAUUUUUCUUGUCUGAAUUUCCACUUAUUUUGCUUUCUUUCUCAUAUUCCUCCUGUCAUAUUUUAUUUUACUUUUACUACAUUGAAUAUUACACUAAAUGUGGUGAUGUAUGUUCUUCAUCUUCAUGAAGUAGUGUUUCAACUAUCACAUGCAUUCUC
rnacentral:sRNA from 1 species